GACGAACGCUGGCGGCGUGCUUAACACAUGCAAGUCGAACGGAAAGGCCCUGCUUUUGUGGGGUGCUCGAGUGGCGAACGGGUGAGUAACACGUGAGUAACCUGCCCUUUACUUUGGGAUAACUUCAGGAAACUGGGGCUAAUACCUGAUAGGAGCUCCUGCUGCAUGGUGGGGGUUGGAAAGUUUCGGCGGUUGGGGAUGGACUCGCGGCUUAUCAGCUUGUUGGUGGGGUAGUGACUUACCAAGGCUUUGACGGGUAGCCGGCCUGAGAGGGUGACCGGCCACAUUGGGACUGAGAUACGGCCCAGACUCCAACGGGAGGCAGCAGUGGGGAAUAUUGCACAAUGGGCGGAAGCCUGAUGCAGCAACGCCGCGUGCGGGAUGACGGCCUUCGGGUUGUAAACCGCUUUCGCCUGUGACGAAGCGUGAGUGACGGUAAUGGGUAAAGAAGCACCGGCUAACUACGUG
rnacentral:rRNA from 1 species